AUAAAGUAGGCAAAGGAAAAUAUAUUUCAAAAAUAUUAUAACAAGGCAUUUUAAUUAUCUAUGACUCUCCCUCCCUCCCGACCAAAAAAAAAUAAUCUUUUUUUGCCAGUCUUAUACAUUGAAAUGAGUCUAACUGACAACAUGAAAUCAAGGGAUGGGUGGAUUCACUGAGGUGGCAGAAGGCUUUUAUGUGGGGGCUGCAUCCUUGCCGACGGAAAUAGAUACAGGAAGAAUAAUAGAGGGACGUGAAACAGGAUUAACUAACGUACGAUAUUUAGAGGCGUAAUGUUCGCUGAUAGCGUUAGACAAUGUGCUAGAUGAGAGGCAUUAAAGCUAAAACUGACAGUUCACUAGUUCAGUGGAACGCCACAGGGAAAAAAAGAAGAAAGAAAAUGGGUAAAUAAAGUACCUGAGCCAGGUCUGAGAUAAUCUUCGUUGUGGACAGGUGUCUAUAGAGAGCUUUCUUUUUGUUAGUACAGAAAAAGAUUUGCUGUGAUGGCUCUUCACUGUUAGCUGAAAGCCUCCUCUUAUUUUGGCUACCCCAUCAUAGCGAGCCCCUCUUUAACAAUCUCCUGCCAUAGGUCAAGCUGAGAUUCAUCGUAGUUAUUGAUGGAUUGCUGGGUUAGGCAUAAAGCAGCCUUAAAAGAAGUUGUCUCAGUCUGCUUUGUAACGGAAGUGAACUGUGAAGGAUAGCCAUCUGCUUCUACGGUGGGGAUUUAUUCUGAUCGUUUCGAUGCCACUUUCCCCUUCUCUAGUGCUCGCUUUUGCUCCCUGACCCUACAGACGGCUUUACAAAAGGCAACUCGUCCUGAACAGAAAUCUAAUGGAGCCAGUUGUACCAACCUGAGCUAGGAAAUCAGCUGCUAGGUUAAAACACAAACCCAUGUGUGCCCGCAGAUCUUUUGCAAGGAGAACUGCAGAUAUUUCCCCCUCCCACCCUCCAUGACUUUUUAUAGGCAGGAACUGGAGACACACAACUGAAGGUUUUUCUCUUUUGACUUUUGUUAUCCUUGGCAGAUCUGGAAUACCCGGGAUCAGCUCGUCCCACCCCCACCAGCUCCUUGGAGGAGUUAGGUGAUGCUCGGCCUGUUCCGCCCAAGCAGGAUAACAGCCCUUAGACAACCACAGGGCCCCAUAGUAACAACGAUCAGGGUUCGUGUAACUUUCUCACUCCCUGUCCCUAGGAAAGCCGCAGAGGGGCUGCUCGCACGCACCUUCCAGGGGAGGCGGCUCGUGCCGUUUCUCGCCUUCAGAAGUUCUGUCAAACCUGCCCAGGUGCGUGAACCGGAGCGGCCAGCCUGGGCUGGGCCUGCCUGGCAGCCGGGGGGCAGCGUGCGCCCAGGGGGGACGAAGGAGGACGUGCGGUCGAUUUGCACCUGGCUAGGCCGGCUCGCGGCAAGGGCACCGCUCGGGUUUUGCCAGGUCUGGCGGAGCCUCAGCCCGGACCGCAGGGGCUUUGCAGCCGGAGAGCGCGGCUCCGGCUCGCCCCAUCCCGCGGGCCCGCUUCGCCUGGCUCCCAGCCUCACGCGGAGGGGCCGGCGGAGUUUGCCACAUCUCCCCCUACGUCGGGAAACCCUGACCCGGGCCGGGCCGGGCAACAAGGCCGCUCGGGAGCCCUCCUGGAGCGCGCUGCAGAGCCGCCUCUCCCUGCCCACAGCCCAGCUCUGCACUGGCGCGGCAUCUGAUUUCGUCCCGCGGAUUAUUGGGGCGGGGGGGGACCCCAAUCAAAGCAAUGAGCGAAGGUGCCACUCAGCGGAGGAGACUUCAUUCCCGAUGUUAAUUAACAGGCAGCUAAUUAAAACGCCACUUUGAGCGCUAAUCAAUCGCUUUAUUAAAUCGGGAGCAGGAAGGGGAACACAUUGAACGCUACCAGUUAGGGUAUCAUGGUAUCGAGCGGACGGUCGAUGCGGGGACAGCGGAUUAGAGGUUUGCACCCUAUCGAUCCCUGCCCGCUGUAGCUGCGGUGUGUGGGAGGCUCAGAUCUGCUGCCUUCUCGGCUGCCCGCGGCCAGCAGGAGACAGGGAUCGCGUUAGGGACGAGCCCGCCUUCCCCAGGGGCACGGGCCCUGAGAAGCGGCCGCCACAGAGUUACCCCGCAACACACCAUACCAGGAGCGCUGGCCGUGGCACGCCCAGGCGGCUCUCGGGGCGGGAGAAAGUUCCCCAACUCCUCCCACCGACCUGGACUUUUCAGCGACUCUUCACACACUACUUUCCCCUGCCAGGGCUUUGUAGCCACAAGUGCAGAUCCACGUGGGGAACAAGCGAGGAUCUUGGCAGAGGAAGCCCGCUGGCCAGUGCUCCGGGGCGCACAGAGAGCUGCUCCCCGCCUGUGUCCUCCUAGAGCCUCCCUUAGCCCCUGGAGGGAGGUGGGGCCGUUCCCGCAGACUUUGGCCGCAGACUUUGGCCGUUCCCGCAGACGCGCGACAGAGAGCUGGGGUAAUGAUCACGCUCCGGCAGGAGGCCAGAGGGGUCGCACACGUUAGUCCGGCCCCAGCGAGCCAGGGCCUCUCCCCAAGGGACUGCGGGCUCCCACGGCCCACACUGACAAGUGGAACCUGGCUGUUCUCUCCUGUGUUGGAAACCCGCCGCUUCAACCGGCUGGGGACACAGACACACGCCUCAGAAACCGCUCAACCAGGAAGCCCAAACCCCAAGUUUUACAAGCAUUUUCCUUUCCUACAUUAUUGAUAUGCGUGGUUUCUCCCGGAGGGAGGCCCACUUGGCAAUAACAGGAGAUGUGAAUUGGAACGGGCGAGCCCAUAACUAAGGGAUCCCAUUCUGUAACAAGAUGGGGUGGGGAGGGAAGUCUUGGCUCCUGGCUUGAUAUUAACAGUUCAGAGAUUAAACCUACGCUGGAAUAUUCUGCCUUUGUCCUUCUUCAGCAAAG